rnacentral:rRNA from 1 species
GUUGAACGCUGGCGGCAUGCCUUACACAUGCAAGUCGAACGGUAACGCGGGGCAACCUGGCGACGAGUGGCGAACGGGUGAGUAAUGCAUCGGAACGUGCCCAACAGUGGGGGAUAGCUCGGCGAAAGCCGGAUUAAUACCGCAUCUCACCUAAGGGUAAAAGCGGGGGAUCGCAAGACCUCGCGCUGAUGGAGCGGCCGAUGUCAGAUUAGGUGGUUGGGGGGGUAGAGGCCUACCAAGCCGACGAUCUGUAGCUGGUCUGAGAGGACGACCAGCCACACUGGGACUGAGACACGGCCCAGACUCCUACGGGAGGCAGCAGUGGGGAAUUUUGGACAAUGGGCGCAAGCCUGAUCCAGCCAUGCCGCGUGCGGGAUGAAGGCCUUCGGGUUGUAAACCGCUUUUGUCGGGGAAGAAAUACUCCGGGCUAAUACCCCGGGAGGAUGACGGUACCUGAAGAAUAAGCACCGGCUAACUACGUGCCAGCCGCCGCCGUAA